GAUGAACGCUGGCGGCGUGCCUAAUACAUGCAAGUCGAGCGAACAGACGAGGAGCUUGCUCCUCUGACGUUAGCGGCGGACGGGUGAGUAACACGUGGAUAACCUACCUAUAAGACUGGGAUAACUUCGGGAAACCGGAGCUAAUACCGGAUAAUAUAUUGAACCGCAUGGUUCAAUAGUGAAAGACGGUUUUGCUGUCACUUAUAGAUUGAUCCGCGCCGCAUUAGCUAGUUGGUAAGGUAACGGCUUACCAACGCAACGAUGCGUAGCCGACCUGAGAGCGUGAUCGGCCACACUGGAACUGAGACACGGUCCAGACUCCUACGGGAGGCAGCAGUAGGGAAUCUUCCGCAAUGGGCGAAAGCCUGACGGAGCAACGCCGCGUGAGUGAUGAAGGUCUUCGGAUCGUAAAACUCUGUUAUUAGGGAAGAACAAAUGUUUAAGUAACUAUGCACGUCUUGACGGUACCUAAUCAGAAAGCCACGGCUAACUACGUG
rnacentral:rRNA from 1 species